rnacentral:rRNA from 1 species
AGAGUUUGAUCCUGGCUCAGGAUGAACGCUGGCGGCGUGCCUAACACAUGCAAGUCGAACGAAGCACCUUUUGAGAUUCUUCGGAUGAUCGAUCGGUGACUGAGUGGCGGACGGGUGAGUAACGCGUGGGUAACCUGCCCUGUACAGGGGGAUAACAGCUGGAAACGGCUGCUAAUACCGCAUAAGCGCACGAGGAGACAUCUCCUUGUGUGAAAAACUCCGGUGGUACAGGAUGGGCCCGCGUCUGAUUAGCUGGUUGGCAGGGUAACGGCCUACCAAGGCAACGAUCAGUAGCCGGUCUGAGAGGAUGAACGGCCACAUUGGAACUGAGACACGGUCCAAACUCCUACGGGAGGCAGCAGUGGGGAAUACUGCACAAUGGGGGAAACCCUGAUGCAGCGACGCCGCGUGGAGGAAGAAGGUCUUCGGAUUGUAAACUCCUGUUGUUGAGGAAGAUAAUGACGGUACCCAACAAGGAAGUGACGGCUAACUACGUGCCAGCAGCCGCGGUAAAACGUAGGUCACAAGCGUUGUCCGGAAUUACUGGGUGUAAAGGGAGCGCAGGCGGGCGAUCAAGUUGGAAGUGAAAUCCAUGGGCUCAACCCAUGAACUGCUUUCAAAACUGGUCGUCUUGAGUAGUGCAGAGGUAGGCGGAAUUCCCGGUGUAGCGGUGGAAUGCGUAGAUAUCGGGAGGAACACCAGUGGCGAAGGCGGCCUACUGGGCACCAACUGACGCUGAGGCUCGAAAGUGUGGGUAGCAAACAGGAUUAGAUACCCUGGUAGUCCACACCGUAAACGAUGAUUACUAGGUGUUGGGAGAUUGACCCUCUCAGUGCCGCAGUCAACACAAUAAGUAAUCCACCUGGGGAGUACGACCGCAAGGUUGAAACUCAAAGGAAUUGACGGGGGCCCGCACAAGCAGUGGAGUAUGUGGUUUAAUUCGACGCAACGCGAAGAACCUUACCAAGUCUUGACAUCCCUUGACGAUGCUGGAAACAGUAUUUCUCUUCGGAGCAAGGAGACAGGUGGUGCAUGGUUGUCGUCAGCUCGUGUCGUGAGAUGUUGGGUUAAGUCCCGCAACGAGCGCAACCCUUAUGGUCAGUUACUACGCAAGAGGACUCUGGCCAGACUGCCGUUGACAAAACGGAGGAAGGUGGGGAUGACGUCAAAUCAUCAUGCCCUUUAUGACUUGGGCUACACACGUACUACAAUGGCGUUAAACAAAGAGAAGCAAGACCGCGAGGUGGAGCAAAACUCAGAAACAACGUCCCAGUUCGGACUGCAGGCUGCAACUCGCCUGCACGAAGUCGGAAUUGCUAGUAAUCGUGGAUCAGCAUGCCACGGUGAAUACGUUCCCGGGCCUUGUACACACCGCCCGUCACACCAUGAGAGCCGGGGGGACCCGAAGUCGGUAGUCUAACCGCAAGGAGGACGCCGCCGAAGGUAAAACUGGUGAUUGGGGUGAAGUCGUAACAAGGU